rnacentral:rRNA from 1 species
GGACUACCCGGGUUUCUAAUCCUGUUCGCUCCCCACACUUUCGCUCCUCAGCGUCAGGACAUUCCCAGAGAACCGCCUUCGCCACCGGUGUUCCUCCUGAUAUCUGCGCAUUUCACCGCUACACCAGGAAUUCCGUUCUCCCCUGAAUGCCUCUAGUCUGCCCGUAUCGAAAGCAGGCCAGGUGUUAAGCACCUGGUUUUCACUCCCGACGCGACAAACCGCCUACGAGCCCUUUACGCCCAAUAAUUCCGGACAACGCUCGGACCCUACGUAUUACCGCGGCUGCUGGCAC